rnacentral:rRNA from 1 species
UUUGGUUAAGUUAGAAAGGGCGCACGGUGGAUGCCUUGACACUAGGAGUCGAUGAAGGACGGGACUAACGCCGAUAUGCUUCGGGGAGCUGUAAGUAAGCUUUGAUCCGAAGAUUUCCGAAUGGGGAAACCCACCAUACGUAAUGGUAUGGUAUCCUUAUCUGAAUACAUAGGGUAAGGAAGACAGACCCAGGGAACUGAAACAUCUAAGUACCUGGAGGAAGAGAAAGCAAAUGCGAUUUCCUGAGUAGCGGCGAGCGAAACGGAACAUAGCCCAAACCAAGAGGCUUGCCUCUUGGGGUUGUAGGACAUUCUAUACGGAGUUACAAAGGAACGAGGUAGACGAAGCGACCUGGAAAGGUCCGUCGUAGAGGGUAACAACCCCGUAGUCGAAACUUCGUUCUCUCUUGAAUGUAUCCUGAGUACGGCGGAACACGUGAAAUUCCGUCGGAAUCUGGGAGGACCAUCUCCCAAGGCUAAAUACUCCCUAGUGAUCGAUAGUGAACCAGUACCGUGAGGGAAAGGUGAAAAGCACCCCGGAAGGGGAGUGAAAGAGAUCCUGAAACCGUGUGCCUACAAAUAGUCAGAGCCCGUUAACGGGUGAUGGCGUGCCUUUUGUAGAAUGAACCGGCGAGUUACGAUCCCGUGCGAGGUUAAGCUGAAGAGGCGGAGCCGCAGCGAAAGCGAGUCUGAAUAGGGCGUUUAGUACGUGGUCGUAGACCCGAAACCAGGUGAUCUACCCAUGUCCAGGGUGAAGUUCAGGUAACACUGAAUGGAGGCCCGAACCCACGCACGUUGAAAAGUGCGGGGAUGAGGUGUGGGUAGCGGAGAAAUUCCAAUCGAACCUGGAGAUAGCUGGUUCUCCCCGAAAUAGCUUUAGGGCUAGCCUUAAGUGUAAGAGUCUUGGAGGUAGAGCACUGAUUGGACUAGGGGUCCUCAUCGGAUUACCGAAUUCAGUCAAACUCCGAAUGCCAAUGACUUAUCCUUAGGAGUCAGACUGCGAGUGAUAAGAUCCGUAGUCAAAAGGGAAACAGCCCAGACCGCCAGCUAAGGUCCCAAAGUGUGUAUUAAGUGGAAAAGGAUGUGGAGUUGCUUAGACAACUAGGAUGUUGGCUUAGAAGCAGCCACCAUUUAAAGAGUGCGUAAUAGCUCACUAGUCGAGUGACUCUGCGCCGAAAAUGUACCGGGGCUAAAUACACCACCGAAGCUGCGGAUUGAUACCAAUGGUAUCAGUGGUAGGGGAGCGUUCUAAGGACAGUGAAGUCAGACCGGAAGGACUGGUGGAGUGCUUAGAAGUGAGAAUGCCGGUAUGAGUAGCGAAAGACGGGUGAGAAUCCCGUCCACCGAAUGCCUAAGGUUUCCUGAGGAAGGCUCGUCCGCUCAGGGUUAGUCAGGACCUAAGCCGAGGCCGACAGGCGUAGGCGAUGGACAACAGGUUGAUAUUCCUGUACCACCUCUUUAUCGUUUGAGCAAUGGAGGGACGCAGAAGGAUAGAAGAAGCGUGCGAUUGGUUGUGCACGUCCAAGCAGUUAGGCUGAUAAGUAGGCAAAUCCGCUUAUCGUGAAGGCUGAGCUGUGAUGGGGAAGCUCCUUAUGGAGCGAAGUCUUUGAUUCCCCGCUGCCAAGAAAAGCUUCUAGCGAGAUAAAAGGUGCCUGUACCGCAAACCGACACAGGUAGGCGAGGAGAGAAUCCUAAGGUGUGCGAGAGAACUCUGGUUAAGGAACUCGGCAAAAUGACCCCGUAACUUCGGGAGAAGGGGUGCUUUCUUAACGGAAAGCCGCAGUGAAUAGGCCCAAGCGACUGUUUAGCAAAAACACAGCUCUCUGCGAAGCCGUAAGGCGAAGUAUAGGGGGUGACACCUGCCCGGUGCUGGAAGGUUAAGGAGAGGGGUUAGCGUAAGCGAAGCUCUGAACUGAAGCCCCAGUAAACGGCGGCCGUAACUAUAACGGUCCUAAGGUAGCGAAAUUCCUUGUCGGGUAAGUUCCGACCCGCACGAAAGGUGUAACGAUUUGGGCACUGUCUCAACCAGAGACUCGGUGAAAUUAUAGUACCUGUGAAGAUGCAGGUUACCCGCGACAGGACGGAAAGACCCCGUGGAGCUUUACUGUAGCCUGAUAUUGAAUUUUGGUACAGUUUGUACAGGAUAGGCGGGAGCCUUUGAAACCGGAGCGCUAGCUUCGGUGGAGGCGCUGGUGGGAUACCGCCCUGACUGUAUUGAAAUUCUAACCUACGGGUCUUAUCGACCCGGGAGACAGUGUCAGGUGGGCAGUUUGACUGGGGCGGUCGCCUCCUAAAGUGUAACGGAGGCGCCCAAAGGUUCCCUCAGAAUGGUUGGAAAUCAUUCGUAGAGUGCAAAGGCAUAAGGGAGCUUGACUGCGAGAC